rnacentral:rRNA from 1 species
CCUACGGGGUGCAGCAGUGGGGGAUAUUGCACAAUGGGGGAAACCCUGAUGCAGCGACGCCGCGUGUGGGAAGACGGUCUUCUGGAUUGUAAACCACUGUCCCCAGGGACGAAAAUGACGGUACCUGGGGAGGAAGCUCCGGCUAACUACGUGCCAGCAGCCGCGGUAAUACGUAGGGAGCAAGCGUUGUCCGGAAUUACUGGGUGUAAAGGGAGCGUAGGCGGGGAUGCAAGUUGGGUGUCAAAACUACCGGCUCAACCGAUAGUCGCACUCAAAACUGCAACUCUUGAGUGAAGUAGAGGCAGGCGGAAUUCCUAGUGUAGCGGUGAAAUGCGUAGAUAUUAGGAGGAACACCAGUGGCGAAGGCGGCCUGCUGGGCUUUUACUGACGCUGAGGCUCGAAAGUGUGGGGAGCAAACAGGAUUAGAUACCCGGGUAGUC